rnacentral:lncRNA from 1 species
ACUCGACUUCAAGUCCUCCAUUCUAUGGUCCUGAAAAGAUAAAGCCCACGACGGGUAAGAUAUAAAUCUCAGCUAGUUCACGCUCUAAACUCCGAUAAGGAGGGUGAUACACCUAGAGCGUCCUAAUCACACAACUACACAGUCGUAGAGACUUACCUCAUCUCAACUCCUCCCUACACGUCGACACAAUUUAUAUAACACAUAAGUGCAGUAAUAACACCCAAUCAAUUGGAGCGCCUUAAACCACAUCUCCCUCAAUCACCACCUCUCAGUCAAUCAUGCACUCCAAAUGAUUACAAUCACACAGAUACGAUCUAAUUAUCACCCAGCGGAUCUAACUAUCACAUAGUAGGUUUAUCCAUCACACAACGGAUUUAUCCGUCACAUAGCGGAUCUAACUGACACACGGCGGAUCUAUCCAUCACACAGCUAAGCAUCAUCUCGCCCCAUCGUGUCUGCCUCAAGACGGCUUUUCACAUAAAAGCAUCGUUCACUCAACACACAGCGGGAGACGAAUUCUCUUAACCAGCACACGAUUAUCCAAUCUUGGCCAAGGACAUUGUGCUUCGCACUUAAAUUCCUCAAUUAAAAUAAUGUCUGGCCUAAUUUCAUUAUGAUAAAAUAAAGUUGUAUGGGUACAUGGUCGGCUUGAGCCAAAAUUUCAAUAUCUUUACUUUAGAAAAUCCCACUAUUUAUCUAGUGUCUAAAAAAAAUUUUGCCGUUGUAAACCGACACUCCGGAAAUUUUCUAAUUAAUUAUUGAAAUUACUUAAUUUUAGGAUAAAUACCCAAAAAAUUAUAGUUUCCACUCAAUUGCACAAUUCAACAAUCAAUUGCAAAAAUUAACCACACCAUUGCAAUCAGCAUAAAAUUCCGGUCACCGACUAUUCCGGUCUAAUUUCUGGGAAAUAAUUUAAUAAUUAAUUAAUUAAUUACCGAAAUUAAUUAAAUAAAAUAUACAUUAAUUCAAUAAAUACAAACUUCAGCUUAAAAUUGCUAAUCUAACCAUCUAUUGAACUAAUUAAAUUAUCAUAACCAUUUUAACUAUAAGGCUACACAAUAAACUAACUAAUUACAAUUUCUAACCACAUAAAUCACUAAUCUAACUAACCUAAAUUAAUUUUAAGAAAUUAAUAAUUAAAUUAAUUACACUUAAAUUAAUCUAAUCACCCCUUAAAUGUCAUUAGCCUAUUAAGUAGAGUUUAGUGCAUAAACUCACUGGUUUAACGUGAAAAAUGGUUUAUUGCGACGGCGGCCGAAACUCGGGCCUACGGUGAUGCUGAGGGGAGCUUGGGCUGGGCCAAACAAACCUUGCAAGCCCACAGCAACUGUUGGGCUAGAAUGAGCUUAAUCGAUGGGCUGAGACGCACGAGCCGGGCUGAUUUUUGCGGGUUGCAGCGGCUGAACUUGCGGGCUGAAAAAGGGCUGGGCCUGACUUCAAGUGGGCUGCUGACCUUGGCUUGACGGGCUGAACAAAAUUGCGUGGGCUGCAGACAGUAACUUGCUGGGCUGAAUUGGAGCUGGCCGCGGCAAAGAAACGGAAAGGGCUGCUGCUUGAGGAGACGUGGAGCGAUGGGCGAAGGCAAGAGGCGAUCGUGGCUGUUUCGGUGGAGUUGGGGCAGAGAAAGGCGAAGCAGCAAAAAUCCACGUGGAGUGGAUCGUGGGGUUGCCUCGCUGGGUUGACUCGGCAGCUGCAAGGGGAUGAAGGAAGACGCGCGGCAGCAGCUGGCUUCGCUGGCUUCGGUCAGCGAUGGAAGGAGACAGGCGCUGGCAGAAGUUGAUGGUGGACCGAAGAUGGUGGAGGCGUGUGUGAGCUGCAGUUGGGAUGGCAG